rnacentral:rRNA from 1 species
UACGUAGGGUGCGAGCGUUGUCCGGAAUUAUUGGGCGUAAAGGGCUCGUAGGCGGUUUGUCACGUCGGGAGUGAAAACCCGGGGCUCAACCCCGGGCCUGCAGUCGAUACGGGCAGACUAGAGUGCGGUAGGGGAGACUGGAAUUCCCGGUGUAGCGGUGAAAUGCGCAGAUAUCGGGAGGAACACCGGUGGCGAAGGCGGUUCUCUGGGCCUGUACUGACGCUGAGGAGCGAAAGCGUGGGGAGCGAACAGG